AGAGUUUGAUCAUGGCUCAGAGCGAACGCUGGCGGCAGGCCUAAUACAUGCAAGUCGAGCGCACCUUCGGGUGAGCGGCGGACGGGUGAGUAACGCGUGGGAAUAUGCCCUUUGGUACGGAACAACCCAGGGAAACUUGGGCUAAUACCGUAUGUGCCCUACGGGGGAAAGAUUUAUCGCCAUUGGAGUAGCCCGCGUUGGAUUAGCUAGUUGGUAGGGUAAAGGCCUACCAAGGCUACGAUCCAUAGCUGGUCUGAGAGGAUGAUCAGCCACACUGGGACUGAGACACGGCCCAGACUCCUACGGGAGGCAGCAGUAGGGAAUCUUGCGCAAUGGGCGAAAGCCUGACGCAGUCAUGCCGCGUGUAUGAUGAAGGUCUUAGGAUUGUAAAAUACUUUCACCGGGGAAGAUAAUGACGGUACCCGGAGAAGAAGCCCCGGCUAACUUCGUGCCAGCAGCCGCGGUAAUACGAAGGGGGCUAGCGUUGCUCGGAAUUACUGGGCGUAAAGGGCGCGUAGGCGGACAGUUUAGUCAGAGGUGAAAGCCCAGGGCUCAACCUUGGAAUAGCCUUUGAUACUGGCUGUCUUGAGUUCGGGAGAGGUGAGUGGAAUGCCGAGUGUAGAGGUGAAAUUCGUAGAUAUUCGGCGGAACACCAGUGGCGAAGGCGACUCACUGGCCCGAUACUGACGCUGAGGCGCGAAAGCGUGGGGAGCAAACAGGAUUAGAUACCCUAGUAGUCC
rnacentral:rRNA from 1 species